GUGGUGAACACAAACUGAACCACUUUGUCACAGUACUACUGAACCCUUUGGUUAACUUCUUCUCAUGAUGGUGUUCUUUGUCAACUGAAGGUCAGCUGCCACAUUGAAUAUGGGCUAGACGUAGCAUAGAUACGGCUGUAUGUUUAGGAAAAAUAAUUAAGAAGUGGGUGAAAACAAACUUGACAAACAGAUGAGAGCUCGCACAACACUCCCAACUGUCCUUCCUCUGAAAGCUGCAUGAUUAAACUCUGUUCUGGGUUCCUUUGCUCUUUGUUACUUUCACUUCCUUAACCUGCUCCAAAAUCUGCACUGACAUUAAUUCCUUCAUUCAUUGUUUGUACAUCUCUUCUGUCGCUGCUGUUUUCAGUUGCAUUUUUUGAGGCAUGCUACACAUGUCAGUUUUUUUUCUUCCACUAGAUGGCACUGUCGGACAGGGAAUGUAAUUUGUUCAACAACUGACAUUGGUUGACGUUAUGGUGAAGCCUUUUUUUUUCUCUUUCUCUUGGUGUUAGAAAGCAGAGCUUGUUGUCUCAGAGGAGAAGGAAGCAGUGACUGGCCUAGGUACUGGUCAGACUGCAGAGGAUGGAAAGGAUAUUGAGAGCUCCACUGACACUGGAGAAGCAAGUUCAUCUGAAGCUUUGUCAGAAGCUUUGGACACAGUGAGAACCCAGUUCCUGUCUGAGAGCAUGG